UGGGUCAUUGUUCCAGAAGGACAGUCUCAUUCACCCAUGACAAGGAAACUUAUCACAUUUAAUGCAGUAUUACCAGUUCUUAGACCAAUCAUAGGAGCCUCAGGUUAUGUCUACACUGCAGUGUAAGCCCAGACUCAGACUCAAGACUCAGACUCAAGGCCUAAUUUGGCUUCUGUCUGCACACAAAUUUCUUGGACUUGGACUCAGAUGGUGGAGGAUGAUAGCUCGAGCCAAUCCAGGAUUCAGGAUUGAAACCCUAUCAUUUUACUAUGUAGAAGCAAUCUCUCUCACUCUUACACACACACACUUGAGUCCUUGAAGGCCAUUAAAAAUUUCCCACAAUGCUGCAGGCUGACUUCCUCUCUCUCCCAAGGCUCGCCAGUCCACUCCAGCGAAAUUGAAGAACCUCCCGUGUUCUAAUAUAGCAGUAUGGUGUUUCACCCUUCUGUUUUAUUCUGACUACAGAGCUGCAAACAUAUCUGGGGCGAACCUUUGGCCUUUGCACAGGAUACUGACCAGAAGUGCUUUACAAGCACUCUGCCUCAUGGUCUUGGGAGCACAGCCAGCUUUAGGUUAAUCUCUGGGACAAGGCCAGCAAAAGAAUUGAUUUACGAGUACCAGGAAUGACCAUGCACCACCAAAUAGUGAAGAGGCUUGUGCUGUUGGAAAUCUACCAGACUGGUGACCGCUGCAGGAAACAGAUGUAUAGCCUGGGUACUGGACAGUGAGGGAUCACAACCACACUUCUGGGAACUUGCCAACAUCAUGCUCAUUUUAUGAGGAUUUGGACCAGGUGUUGGGGACUGUGUCAAGCAAGAAGCAACCUGUGGUGCAUGAUGGCCUAGUCAGCCAGGCCUCCAAGACAGCAUGGAAAUCAAUGGGAACAGGGAGGCAAAUGAAGUGACUGUUGAUGAAAGUGUUCCUACAGGAGGCUUUGCCACAGAAGAAGCUGCAGUACAUCCUGGGCCAUACUUAGAGGAGUUUUUGAUGCCUCCCUCUUCCUGGGAGGAACAGCCUACCACAGAACUGGCAGCUGAGACAAAAGAAGGAGAAGCUGCCCUGGAGACUGGUGCGCACCGGACAGAAGCCUGGCGCACCGGACAAAGCGGCUGGGACAAACCAGCUGGGAGGCGGGGCCGCGAUUGCCGCAUGGAGCCCUCAGUCGGUUGAGUGUAAGGAGGAGGGGAAACCUCCUCGCUCGUAUGUCACUGGGAGCCUGCGCGGGACAGGCAGCAAGUGCCCAGUUUGGAAAGACAAACUUGAAAACCAAACCCAAGUCCCAUACAAUGCCCAGGAGCUACAAUAUAAUGCAACUGUGCCUCUAUGAAAUUGGUUGCACCAUUUGCCAGCAUGUGCGACCACUAGACCCUUCCAGAUUUUACAGGAUCCUCGUCUCUGCUAUUGGACUGCCAGGUGCGCUGCCUGGAUGAUUCACGCUGAUGACUCUGGAGCUGAAAGUUCGAUCUCGUCCCAAGGAGCCACUGCCUUCCCUUCAAGCAGAACACACAGCAGCCAUGGGCUCUUGACGCUAUGCCACGGGAUGGUCUCCAGCAAGCCUCAUCACAGUGAUGCCAAGAAAGCGGAUGGAGCUGAAGGCACUGUGCUGCUCUAAGGUUGUGAACAAAUAGAUGUCUAUGGCCAAGGAGCUAACGGGCCAGUGGAAGGAGGCUACUGCCUCUGUGUCUCUCUUACUGGCUAAUUGCUAGGUCUGCAGAUUCCUACAGGCAUGAGUGUAGGUGGAAACACUAUUCCACACCAGAAAGAACCUCUUGGUAUAGCAACUGGGGGGUCCUCUGCAGAAGACACAAGACCAUUCAACGUUCUCUCAAGCUCUGAGCCUCUCCCCUCGGUUCCUUCCCCUGGAGUAUGGAAGGAAUGGGCUCCCUAUCACAGUAAGUGCCUUCUCUCCUACAGUGGCUCAGGCUCAUUGGGCAUUAGUGCCUUUUUCAUCCCGUGCCACCUUUUCUGGGGCAGGGUGGUGCUCUGCAACUUCCACAAAUGCCCCUGAUUUUGCCUGCCUCUCACUCAUCAGCCCACACUGCUCGCAGAGUUUGGGCAGAGAACUGUUUCCGUUCGGCUGGAGAUUCUACCUCCCUUGGAGGGAGUCUGGGGAGGAAAACUAAAUUUCCUACGAUUCGCUGAGUUAAGGGAAACAGAGUCCUCUGGGCUGGGCCUUAUUCCACACUGCGUCCCCCUCCCCAUGUCUUAUCUCCGGCAGCACAUGGCCAUUUUCUGCAGAGAAACUGGCACAGAAUAUUUGCUUGCUGGUGUGCAGGACUUUUCCCGAGACUGGGGGUGAGGCCACUUCCCCAGGAUACAGCUCUGUCCAUUCCAAACCAUGCUUAUGGGCUGGAGCCCACGGGGGAAGAGUAGGAUCUGGGAACAGGGCCAAGCAAGUGCCUGAGUACAUCUAAUCCCUCGCACUCCCUAGGCUAAGACACACACAUCCCCCUCUGCCACCUGUUUGGCAAACUAGCAGAGCAGCCAGGGAUGCGUAACUGCAUUGGCUGGCAUGCGGGUGUAAGGAACAGUCCCUCACUCGAUCCAUCAUGCCAAUGCUGUCCUGUCGUGGAUACUGGUCCUCUCUCUGGCUGAAGCACAACCUCUGCUCAGGAGCCAGCCCACACUACUCCACCUGCCAGCACGAGGUGCCCUUCCUGCUGCUGCUGACCAUGGUCCAAGAAGACAGACACUGGCAUGCAGUGGGGCAGCGCCUUCCUCUCCAAAUCACUCCACUCUAGGUGUCCUGGAGGGUAGAUCUGCCAGGGAGGGGAAGACCAGCUAGACUAGAGAAACAAGGCCUGAGGUUGAAUAUGAGUCAACAGUGUGAUGCUGUUGCAAAAAAAGCAAAUAUGAUUCUAGGUUGUAUCAACAGGUGUGUUGUAAGCAAAACUCGUGAAGUCAUUCUGCCUCUCUACUCU